rnacentral:rRNA from 1 species
CCUACGGGGAGCUGCAGUGAGGAAUAUUGGUCAAUGGACGAGAGUCUGAACCAGCCAAGUAGCGUGAAGGAUGACUGCCCUAUGGGUUGUAAACUUCUUUUAUAUGGGAAUAAAACGUUCCACGUGUGGGAUUUUGUAUGUACCAUAUGAAUAAGGAUCGGCUAACUCCGUGCCAGCAGCCGCGGUAAUACGGAGGAUCCGAGCGUUAUCCGGAUUUAUUGGGUUUAAAGGGAGCGUAGGUGGAUUGUUAAGUCAGUUGUGAAAGUUUGCGGCUCAACCGUAAAAUUGCAGUUGAAACUGGCAGUCUUGAGUACAGUAGAGGUGGGCGGAAUUCGUGGUGUAGCGGUGAAAUGCUUAGAUAUCACGAAGAACUCCGAUUGCGAAGGCAGUUCACUGGACUGCAACUGACACUGAGGCUCGAAAGUGUGGGUAUCAAACAGGAUUAGAUACCCGGGUAUC